rnacentral:rRNA from 1 species
UAGCGGAGGAAAAGAAACUAACAAGGAUUCCCCUAGUAGCGGCGAGCGAAGCGGGAAGAGCUCAAAUUUAUAAUCUGGCACCUUCGGUGUCCGAGUUGUAAUCUCUAGAAAUGUUUUCCGCGUUGGACCGCACACAAGUCUGUUGGAAUACAGCGGCAUAGUGGUGAGACCCCCGUAUAUGGUGCGGACGCCCAGCGCUUUGUGAUACAUUUUCGAAGAGUCGAGUUGUUUGGGAAUGCAGCUCAAAUUGGGUGGUAAAUUCCAUCUAAAGCUAAAUAUUGGCGAGAGACCGAUAGCGAACAAGUACCGUGAGGGAAAGAUGAAAAGCACUUUGGAAAGAGAGUUAACAGUACGUGAAAUUGUUGGAAGGGAAACGCUUGAAGUCAGACUUGCUUGCCGAGCAAUCGGUUUGCAGGCCAGCAUCAGUUUUCCGGGAUGGAUAAUGGUAGAGAGAAGGUAGCAGUUUCGGCUGUGUUAUAGCUCUCUGCUGGAUACAUCUUGGGGGACUGAGGAACGCAGUGUGCCUUUGGCGGGGGUUUCGACCU